GACGAACGCUGGCGGCGUGCCUAAUACAUGCAAGUCGAGCGGACGAAUCGAAAGCUUGCUUUUGAUUCGUUAGCGGCGGACGGGUGAGUAACACGUGGGCAACCUGCCCUGUAGACGGGGAUAACACCGAGAAAUCGGUGCUAAUACCGGAUAACACGAAAUGUCGCAUGACGUUUCGUUGAAAGACGGCGCAAGCUGUCGCUACAGGAUGGGCCCGCGGCGCAUUAGCUAGUUGGUGAGGUAACGGCUCACCAAGGCGACGAUGCGUAGCCGACCUGAGAGGGUGAUCGGCCACACUGGGACUGAGACACGGCCCAGACUCCUACGGGAGGCAGCAGUAAGGAAUCUUCCGAAAUGGACGAAAGUCUGACGGAGCAACGCCGCGUGAGCGAAGAAGGCCUUCGGGUCGUAAAGCUCUGUUGUUAGGGAAGAACAAGUAACGCAGUAACUGGCGUUACCGUGACGGUACCUAACGAGAAAGCCACGGCUAACUACGUG
rnacentral:rRNA from 1 species